rnacentral:rRNA from 1 species
GACGAACGCUGGCGGCGUGCCUAACGCAUGCAAGUCGAACGGGACUUGCCCCUUCGGGGACAAGUUUAGUGGCGAACGGGUGAGUAACGCGUGAGGAACCUGCCUUUCAGUGGGGGACAACAGUUGGAAACGACUGCUAAUACCGGAUAGGCAUAUGGAAGGCAUCUUCGAUAUGUUAAAGGGGCCACGGCCCUGGACAUGGAUGGACCUGCGGUGCAUUAGCCAGUUGGUGAGGUAACGGCCCACCAAGGCGACGAUGCAUAGCCGACCUGAGAGGGCGAACGGCCACAUUGGGGACUGAGACACGGCCCCAA